CGGAUCCUUCGUGGUGAUUUGGCCGGCGGCUUGCAGCCACGUAAAACAAGUCGCUAAAAGGGCCGUUGCGGGAAAGCC
rnacentral:ncRNA from 1 species